CUGGCGGCGUGCCUAAUACAUGCAAGUCGAGCGAACAGACGAGGAGCUUGCUCCUUUGACGUUAGCGGCGGACGGGUGAGUAACACGUGGGUAACCUACCUAUAAGACUGGGAUAACUUCGGGAAACCGGAGCUAAUACCGGAUAAUAUUUCGAACCGCAUGGUUCGAUAGUGAAAGAUGGCUCUGCUAUCACUUAUAGAUGGACCUGCGCCGUAUUAGCUAGUUGGUAAGGUAACGGCUUACCAAGGCAACGAUACGUAGCCGACCUGAGAGGGUGAUCGGCCACACUGGAACUGAGACACGGUCCAGACUCCUACGGGAGGCAGCAGUAGGGAAUCUUCCGCAAUGGGCGAAAGCCUGACGGAGCAACGCCGCGUGAGUGAUGAAGGUCUUCGGAUCGUAAAACUCUGUUAUUAGGGAAGAACAAACGUGUAAGUAACUGUGCACGUCUUGACGGUACCUAAUCGGAAAGCCACGGCUAACUACGUGCCAGCAGCCGCGGUAAUACGUAGGUGGCAAGCGUUAUCCGGAAUUAUUGGGCGUAAAGCGCGCGUAGGCGGUUUUUUAAGUCUGAUGUGAAAGCCCACGGCUCAACCGUGGAGGGUCAUUGGAAACUGGAAAACUUGAGUGCAGAAGAGGAAAGUGGAAUUCCAUGUGUAGCGGUGAAAUGCGCAGAGAUAUGGAGGAACACCAGUGGCGAAGGCGACUUUCUGGUCUGUAACUGACGCUGAUGUGCGAAAGCGUGGGGAUCAAACAGGAUUAGAUACCCUGGUAGUCC
rnacentral:rRNA from 1 species